rnacentral:lncRNA from 1 species
CCUGGAUUCAAUUUUCUGCUUUGUCACUCGGUUCCAGUUUAAAAUUGGGCAUGGUGUGCUCAUCCUCCUGGGAAACCUGCAAGUGGUGCUGUGAUGACCCCUGUAGCCAAGGAAAGAGAAGUGAAUGGCUCAGCCAGAUGUGCUUCCAAACCUAUCCUGAAGAUGCUGACUGCCUAUGCAUCUCCAGGCAUUACGAGUCACUG